rnacentral:rRNA from 1 species
UACGAAGGGGGCUAGCGUUGUUCGGAAUUACUGGGCGUAAAGCGCACGUAGGCGGACAUUUAAGUCAGGGGUGAAAUCCCAGAGCUCAACUCUGGAACUGCCUUUGAUACUGGGGUGUCUUGAGUAUGGAAGAGGUGAGUGGAAUUCCGAGUGUAGAGGUGAAAUUCGUAGAUAUUCGGAGGAACACCAGUGGCGAAGGCGGCUCACUGGUCCAUUACUGACGCUGAGGUGC